rnacentral:rRNA from 1 species
UCGGGAAUUUUGGGCAAUGGGGGAAACCCUGACCCAGCAACGCCGCGUGAAGGAUGAAGUAUUUCGGUAUGUAAACUUCGAAAGAAUAGGAAGAAUAAAUGACGGUACUAUUUAUAAGGUCCGGCUAACUACGUGCCAGCAGCCGCGGUAAUACGAAGGGGGCUAGCGUUGUUCGGAUUUACUGGACGUAAAGCGCGUGUAGGCGGGUCGUUAAGUUGGGGGUGAAAUCCCGAGGCUCAACCUCGGAACUGCCUCCAAAACUGGCGACCUGGAGCAAGAUAGAGGCGAGUGGAAUUCCGAGUGUAGAGGUGAAAUUCGUAGAUAUUAGGAAGAACACCGGUGGCGAAGGCGGCUCACUGGAUCGGUACUGACGCUGAGGUGCGAAAGCGUGGGGAGCAAACGGGAUUAGAUACCCCAGUAGUCCCUGAGCGGGCUGGCAAGGCGCAU